UGGGGAAUAUUGGACAAUGGGCGCAAGCCUGAUCCAGCCACGCCGCGUGAGUGAUGAAGGCCUUCGGGUCGUAAAGCUCUGUGGGGAGGGACGAACCGCCGGACGUUCAUAGCGUACGGCAUGACGGUACCUCCUUAGCAAGCACCGGCUAACUUCGUGCCAGCAGCCGCGGUAAUACGAAGGGUGCAAACGUUGCUCGGAAUUAUUGGGCGUAAAGCGCACGUAGGCGGCUUCGCAAGUCCCAUGUGAAAGCCCACGGCUUAACCGUGGAAGUGCAUGGGAAACUGCAGAGCUUGAGUACUUAAGAGGAUCGCGGAAUUCCCGGUGUAGAGGUGAAAUUCGUAGAUAUCGGGAGGAACACCAGUGGCGAAGGCGGCGAUCUGGGAAGAUACUGACGCUGAGGUGCGAAAGCGUGGGGAGCAAACA
rnacentral:rRNA from 1 species